AUUGAACGCUGGCGGCAUGCCUUACACAUGCAAGUCGAACGGUAACGGGCCUUCGGGUGCCGACGAGUGGCGAACGGGUGAGUAAUACAUCGGAACGUGCCCGAUCGUGGGGGAUAACGAGGCGAAAGCUUUGCUAAUACCGCAUACGAUCUACGGAUGAAAGCAGGGGACCGCAAGGCCUUGCGCGGACGGAGCGGCCGAUGGCAGAUUAGGUAGUUGGUGGGAUAAAAGCUUACCAAGCCGACGAUCUGUAGCUGGUCUGAGAGGAUGAUCAGCCACACUGGGACUGAGACACGGCCCAGACUCCUACGGGAGGCAGCAGUGGGGAAUUUUGGACAAUGGGCGCAAGCCUGAUCUAGCCAUGCCGCGUGCAGGAUGAAGGCCUUCGGGUUGUAAACUGCUUUUGUACGGAACGAAAAGCCUUCUUUUAAUACAGGAGGGUCAUGACGGUACCGUAAGAAUAAGCACCGGCUAACUACGUG
rnacentral:rRNA from 1 species